rnacentral:lncRNA from 1 species
ACCGAGAGAGAGAGAGUGAGAUUAGUUGUAUGUGUGUGUGUGUUAUGCGGCUGGGGGGGAAAAGAAAAGGGAGAAGAGGCUAGGUGUUGGGCUAGGGCUUGUUUGGGGUGGGCUUGAGUGUUGGGCUUUAGGUUUGGGUUUGGAGUGGGCUCGAGUCAUGGGCCGAAUUUCAAUUAGUUUUGGGCCGUGUCAUGGGCCGAAUUUUUAUGAGUAUUUGGGCCGAGAUUUUUAUUUAUUUUUAUUUCAGUUGGGCCUUUAAUUAUUAAAUCUAUUGGGCCUUUAUUAAUUUAUUUAAUUGGGCUGUGCAGUUUCUUUAUUUAAAAUGGAU